rnacentral:rRNA from 1 species
UACGGAGGGGGCUAGCGUUGUUCGGAAUUACUGGGCGUAAAGCGCACGUAGGCGGCUUUGUAAGUUAGAGGUGAAAGCCCAGGGCUUAACCCUGGAAUUGCCUUUAAGACUGCAUCGCUAGAAUUGUGGAGAGGUAAGUGGAAUUCCGAGUGUAGAGGUGAAAUGCGUAGAGAUGUGGAGGAACACCUGUGGCGAAGGCGCCUUGCUGGCCGAUUUCUGACGCUGAGGCGCGAAAGCGUGGGGAGCAAACAGG